rnacentral:pre_miRNA from 1 species
CGGGGGAGGCUGGAUCCUGGGCUGUGUCCCGGCGCCCUGUGCUCCGGGGCCUGCACUUUGGUUUGCGUUCCCGCCCCGCAGCCCCCU